GCCGGGGUAUCCAAGUCGGGCCAAAGGAAGCAGUCUCAAAAACUGUGUACAAUCCAGUACCGGGGGUUCGAAUCCCCCUCCCGGCG
rnacentral:tRNA from 1 species